GUUGAGAUGGCUGAGUCGGUCUAAGGUGUCAGAUUAAGGUUCUGGUCCUAAAGGGCGUGGGUUUAAAUCCCACUCUCAACA
rfam:Ipomoea nil DNA, scaffold: scaffold1129, cultivar: Tokyo-kokei standard.